AAGGUAGCGAAAUUCCUUGUCGGGUAAGUUCCGACCUGCACGAAUGGCGUAACGAUCUCCACACUGUCUCGGCCAGAGACUCGGUGAAAUUGCAGUCGCGGUGAAAAUUCCGUGUACCCGCAGAAAGACGGAAAGACCCUGUGCACCUUUACUAUAGCUUGACAUUGGAUUUUGGGCCUGCAUGUGUAGGAUAGGUGGGAGGCUGUGAACCCUGUACGCCAGUAUGGGGGGAGCCAUCCUUGAAAUACCACCCUUGCAUGUUUAAGAUCCUAACUUCUUCCGGUUAUCCCGGAGAAAGACAGUGUCUGGCGGGUAGUUUGACUGGGGCGGUCGCCUCCUAAAGUGUAACGGAGGCAUGCAAAGGUUCCCUCAGCCUGAUCGGAAACCAGGCGCUGAGUGCAAACGCAUAAGGGAGCUUGACUGUAAGAGAGACAUCUCGAACAGGAACGAAAGUUGGCGUUAGUGAUCCGGUGGUCCCGAAUGGAAGGGCCAUCGCUCAUUGGAUAAAAGGUACGCCGGGGAUAACAGGCUGAUCGCAUCCAAGAGUUCACAUCGACGAUGCGGUUUGGCACCUCGAUGUCGGCUCAUCACAUCCUGGGGCUGAAGUAGGUCCCAAGGGUUGGGCUGUUCGCCCAUUAAAGUGGUACGCGAGCUGGGUUCAGAACGUCGUGAGACAGUUCGGUCCCUAUCCAUCGCGGGCGUAAGAAACUUGAAAGGGGCUGCUCCUAGUACGAGAGGACCGGAGUGGACCGACCAAUGGUGUACCAGUCAUGGCGCCAGCCGUGCAGCUGGGUAGCUACGUCGGGGACGGAUAAACGCUGAAAGCAUCUAAGCGUGAAACCAGCCUAGAGAUGAGGUUUCUCAUUGCGCAAGCAAGUAAGGUCCCACAGAGACGAUGUGGUUGAUAGGCCGGGAGUGGAAGUACAGUGAUGUAUGGAGCGGACCGGUACUAAUAGACCGAGGACUUGACUUA
rnacentral:rRNA from 1 species